CUUCUUCCACUUGCUGGGGGCAUAUGUAGUGGAUGUGCGCGUCGAUCCCGCCGGCGGUGACGAUCCUGCCUUCGCCGGCGAUGAUCUCGGUGCCGGGGCCGACGACGAUAUCGACGCCGGGCUGGAUAUCGGGAUUACCCGCCUUUCCGAUUGCGGCGAUCCGCCCGCCUUUCAGCGCGAUGUCCGCCUUGUAGAUACCGGUCCAAUCCAGGAUCACGGCAUUGGUGAUGACGGUGUCCGCCGCACCUUGCGCAUUGGUAAGCUGGCUUUGCCCCAUGCCGUCGCGGAU
rnacentral:sRNA from 1 species